ACGGGAGGCAGCAGUGGGGAAUAUUGGACAAUGGGGGAAACCCUGAUCCAGCGACGCCGCGUGAGUGAAGAAGUAUUUCGGUAUGUAAAGCUCUAUCAGCAAGGAAGAAAAUGACGGUACUUGACUAAGAAGCUCCGGCUAAAUACGUGCCAGCAGCCGCGGUAAUACGUAUGGAGCAAGCGUUAUCCGGAUUUACUGGGUGUAAAGGGAGCGUAGACGGAACAGCAAGUCUGAAGUGAAAUCAUGGGGCUCAACCCCGUAACUGCUUUGGAAACUGUUGAUCUUGAGUACCGGAGGGGCAGGCGGAAUUCCUGGUGUAACGGUGAAAUGCGUAGAUAUCAGGAAGAACACCGGUGGCGAAGGCGGCCUGCUGGACGGUAGCUGACGUUGAGGCUCGAAAGCGUGGGGAGCAAACAGGAUUAGAUACCCUGGUA
rnacentral:rRNA from 1 species